AGUGAACGCUGGCGGCAGGCUUAACACAUGCAAGUCGAACGGCAGCACAGUAAGUGCUUGCUCUUACGGGUGGCGAGAGGCGGACGGGUGAGGAAUACAUCGGACUCUACUCUUUCGUGUAGGAUAACGUAGGGAAACUUACGCUAAUAUAGCAUACGACCUACGGGUGUAAGCAGGGGAGCUUUUGCGCUUUCGCGUGUGAACGCGCCGAUGUCGGAUUGGCUAGUUGGAGGGGUAAAGGCCCACCAGGGCGACGAUCCGUACCUGGUCUGAGAGGAUGAUCAGCGACACUGGGACUGAGACACGGUCCUGGCUCCUACGGGAGGCAGCAGUGGGGAAUGGUGGACAAUGGGCGGAAGCCUGAUCCAGCCGUACCGCGUGGGUGAAGAAGGCCUUCGGGUUGUAAAGCCGUUUUGUUGGUGAAGAAACGCAGCAGGUUGAUACCCCGCUGUUCUGACGGUACCCGAAGAAUAAGCACCGGCUAACUACGUG
rnacentral:rRNA from 1 species